UGUCUGAAAAAAAAACUUAGCAGAUAGUGGCGGAGGCAAACAAACCCUAGUUGCCUUCAAUCUAAUCUGUAACAGGCUAACAGCCAAAACGUGUGAGAGAGGGAGAGAUGCGCGGAGGCAGAGAGGCCAUCAGGGCCGGGGCCGCAUCAUCGGUCGCCGUUCACGACUGGAGCCUCCAUCACCGCUCGCCGUCACGGCCGGAGGUCUCCCACUACCGCACCGGACUUCGUCGCCGGCAUCGCUAACGAGGAUAGAUCGCGAGCCACCGCCGCACUCUGCUGAAGCGCGAUCUGUCAGAGUUCCACGUCGCGGUCCUUCUGCCGGAGCACCGCGUUUUUACCGAGGUCGGAACGUCGAUCGCACAGAUCAGCCGUCGCACCGGCCUAUUCGCGAAAUAGCGCAGCCACCAUCACCAGACGGAGCCGACCGCAACCCCAAUCCGCGCCGUCCUCUUCGCGACUGUCGCGACCAGCGAGAGUGCUGCCGCUAGGAUACCAUCGCCGAUCACAAAAUAGAUCUAGAUAGAACAUAGAUUGAUCGCUCAGAAUCGUUGCCGCUGGACGCGACUUUACCUCUGGGCUGAGCCACCUGCCGGAUCCACGAUGCGAACGCUCGUGGGAAAGAAGGAACCGGCCACCAACAAUGGAUUUGGCUAAGAAAAACUAUGGUGGCAGAUCGGUCAAAGGAAUGAAAAAUAUGCAAAUUGAUGGACAAAAGCAGAUUCGGUGCUGCUCAAUAAAAUGUUCGUCUCAAACGUUUUUGCCCUUCUCAAAGGCAGAGUGCUCCUUAUACAGGAAGCGAACGGCUCUGCGGCGCUGCGAUUUACACAAAGCAAACGGAGACAACGAGGACGUCGCCGCUACCUCCCUCACGCCGGAGCACAGUCACGAGUCAAGUCAAUAUCAGGUUGACUACAUAUGGUUUGCCUAAAGCAGGUUAUUUUUCUAAAAAUAUUCAUAUAGUUUGAAUACAUAUUUAUAUACAAAAUGUAUUCAGAAUGAUAUACAAAGUACAAACAGCAACCGUGUACACAAA